CCCGCGGUCAGGCGGGGCUACCCGCUGAGUUUAAGCAUAUCAAUAAGCGGAGGAAAAGA
rnacentral:rRNA from 1 species